GGUCACAGGGAACUCAUGCCCCGAGGACCACCGUUCUGGGGUUCCACAGACAGCUACAAGGCGGCGCCCGAUGGAGGAACGUCCCAGAACUGCGCUGGCCUGUACAAACGCGAUAAUUAUUACAUGCACGACCUUCGCUGCAACGGCGCUGCGGCUCCACUUUGCCAGAAAUUAUAACAAAAUACCCACAGUGCAUAUUCUAUCAUGGCAUACAUGAUGCCAUAGUUCUUCAGAUAAUUUUCCACAGAACAAUCCCAUACAAAGUAUUUUUAAGGUGUUAUGGAUAGCCUACUUUUUUUUUUCUUUCUUUCUUUUUCUGCAACUUUUGAAAAUAGUAAUCCUUGUAUUCUUAUGAAAUGCAUGUGAGUUUACGUUAUGUAAUAAAUCCCCGUGGCUUUUUUAUUUCGUUUCGUAAGUAAUUGAUGUAAGUUCAUACUGCAUUUAUAUAAGUUUGUUGCCCGAAAAAUACAUGCCUGGAGAGUAA